rnacentral:lncRNA from 1 species
CAUCUUCACAAAAUAUUUUACAGAAAGAAAAUGUGAUACACAUAAAGAUGCCAGCUGGAUGUUUAAUUUAAUGCAACAGAAAUUUCUGAUUUGGCAUGCAAAGGAAAACUUCAUAAUUCCAGAUUGAGGAACUGAGCAGGAAACACAGUGAAAGUCCUCAUAUUUCUACCAAACUAUGCAGCAAGAAGACACUUCAAAUUGCUCUCUCCAAAAAGAUAGUAGAAUGUUUUGCUUUUCUUAGAAGCUGUAUUUUAAGCUUCCUUAAAUUAACAUUUCAGCUGUCUUUGUAUAAAUCACUCAGAAAAUAUUCCUACUCUGAAGACAGUACAGAGCCUGCUUUGCAAGACCCACAAAUUGGACUGCUAUAAAAUGACAUUUCUUUUCUUAAUACUGGAAUGCAACAUGCUGUUGGCAUGGGACUGUCCUGUGGGGAACCAGGAAGACAAGAGAGCUGGAUUUUAACCUGCAGAGAAAAAAAAUGCUAGUUUUAACUCCUACAAUCCAUUUCACCAAGAAGCCUGGCUACUUUUAAGCUCUGAAAUCCAUUCCACCAAACAGUUUCCCCAACAGUUGUACCAGCACAAUGGAGGGUCUUGUAUGGAGGCAGGAAGGGGUGGUGAGGAGUAGGGACGGCUUAGCCAGCCCAACACGGAAAGAAAUGUUCCUCUAAUUACAGUCUGAGAGUUUUAUUCUCUUCUGCACUAAAGGCCUUCACAGUGCUUUGGCUGUGUGAAGGAGACAUUAAACAAGUCUAAAUACAAUCUCUGUUUAUGUUACUAUUACUAAAAAUGGAGCAUUAAGACAUUUCUGAAGGAGUUGAAAAGCGUAGG